UUUCAAUUUAAGGUUGUUUUUUUUUUAAAUAACAUGGACUUUUAAAAUAUCUUUGUUUAAAAUUUUUUUUUUAAUGUUUUUUUUUUUUUAAAUUGAAUUUUGGGCUUUAAGUUCAACAAUCUCUACAAAGUUUUAAUGUCUGAAGCAAAUAGUUGCCAAAGUUGGCUAGUCUCAUAGUAAGGUACAGCAAAGUGAAAGUUCAAAGCUGGUUUCAUAAUAAGAGAUAAAGUAGAAGUUGGUUGAUGAUGAGAUAGAAUAGAAGUUAAUUAAUGAUGAAGUAGAAUAAAUAAGGUAGAAGUUCAUUGAUGAUGAGGUAGAAGAGAUGAUUGAAACUCAUUCUUCAUCUGAUGAUCUGAUUGCGAAGAUUCCAGGACAUUGUUGAAACACUCAAAGAAAAGAAGUUAAAAAAAGAAUACCAGAAGAUUAACAGAAGAAUAGCAGAAUGUUUAUAUUAAUUGCUUAAAAUUUUUAAUGAUAUUUAUGUAAUAUAUUUAUUAUAUGGUGUGUAUUAUUGUUUGUUAUUAUUCCUUUUUUUUUUUUGUAAUUAUCAGAGACAAG